GAUGAACGCUGGCGGCGUGCCUAAUACAUGCAAGUCGAGCGAACAGAUGAGGAUCUUGCUCCUCUGACGUUAGCGGCGGACGGGUGAGUAACACGUGGAUAACCUACCUAUAAGACUGGGAUAACUUCGGGAAACCGGAGCUACUACCGGAUAAUAUAUUGCACCUCAUGGUUCACUCGUGAAAGACGGUUUUGCUGUCACUAAUAGAUCGCUCCGCGCCGCAUUAGCUAGUUGGUAAGGUAACGGCUUACCAAGGCAACGAUGCGAAGCCGACCUGAGAGAGUGAACGGCCACACUGGAACUGAGACACGGUCCAGACUCCGACGGGAGGCAGCAGUAGGGAAUCCUACGCAAUGGGCGAAAGCCUGACGGAGCAAAGCCGCGUGAGUGAUGAAGGUCUUCGGAUCGUAAAACUCUGUUAUUAGGAAAGAACAAAUGUGUAAGUAACUAUGCCCGUCUUGACGGUACCUAAUCAGAAAGCCACGGCUAACUACGUG
rnacentral:rRNA from 1 species